GACGUACUGAGGGGAUUUCAGCCGAGGAGAAGAGGGCCGGUCCAGUGACAAGAGAUCCUAAUCACAGCAGCCGAGAAAACAUCUACACGUGUGAGGAACGAAGGAGAAAAAGAGAAAUGAAGAUGUAGGCUCGACGUCUGAGACGCAGAAGGAUCCGAGCGUCUGUCUGCUGACCUCAUGUUAUUUCUGUUCUGUUUCUUAUGCAACGAACGAGCAGAAGCAGCACUCCAGGAGACUGAAGGACGCUGCUGGAGGUCAAAGGUCAAACCAGACGAACCGCUCUAUUGUUGCGGCCGAAGAAAAAGCCUUUCAUUUGAAGAACCUUGACUCACACUGCUUCCAUGAGAGCUGUUAUCAUAGGCAGAGCUCUACAGGAAACUCUGUUUAUCACUUCCUUUCAGUCGUAGUUUGUUUAGGGCUUCGUUGUGUGAUCAGAUUGCAGAGAGAGAGCGACGCAUCGGAGGAGAACACCCACAGGAGCUGCUAUCAGCCGCCGCAUAUGUCUGUGUGUAUGAAAACACGCUCUAUCACAGGACGACAGAUCGCUCGCUGUCUCGUUCAACUACAGCUUUUUGUAGAGUGUGAGGGAUUUGGAAAGAGGGGAGCGUUUCACUUCUGCUUUCUAAAUGAGCUGAGAGCAUUCAGCCAAGACACGGUCAUUUCAGAACGGAGGAGAGGUACAUCGUUGCACACUCAAACAGAGAGCGUUCAGAGAAGUGAUCCGUCUGUCUGCGAGUGUGUGUGUGUGUGUGUGUGUGUGUGUGGCUGCAUAUAGUGCAUUGUCAGUGCAGAUAUAUGGGCACUUAAUGACACAACACAGAAAAGCAGAACAGACAAUUGGACCCGUUUUAAUCAUCUGAUAAAUUUCCUUUUCGGACUGAUGCAACAUGUGGGUAAUUAAAAGAAAUAAACGAGGAAUUCUUCAUUAGAGAGCAGCUUCAUUCGUGUCAAUGGCUGCUGCUCGGCUGGAGCAGGACCCGCUGGAAACAGGGACAGAGCCAUGGGACUUUCUGAGCCAAUCAGCUGAGGCGUUAAUGUCAUGUGACUGUUCACUCUGCACCCCUCUCAAAGUUGUAAAUAAAACCAGGAUUAUUGGA